UUACUACUCCCUCCGUCCGAAAAUACUUGUCUUAAAAAUGUAUAUAAUGGAUGUAUCUUUAACUAGAAUAAGUCUAGAUACAUUUAUUUUUAGGACAAGUAUUUCCGGACGGAGGGAGUAUUAU
rnacentral:pre_miRNA from 1 species